ACUUUUGGUGGAGGCACCAAACUCAUCGUUGACUUGGGAGUGGUGCAGCCCACGCUGAGCGUCCUCCCUCCCUCCAGAGUGGAGCUGGAGCAGGGCAGUGCUACACUAGUGUGUGUGGCCAGUGGGGGCUUCCCCUCAGACUGGAAGCUUGGCUGGAAGGUGGGGGGCAGCAGCAGGUCUGGGGGGGUGUCAGAUAGCCUGGGGGUCCUGGGGAAAGACGGCCACUACAGCUGGAGCAGCGCCUUGACCCUCCCUGCAGACCAGUGGAGGAAGGCGGGCUCAGUGAGCUGUGAGGCCAGUAAGAAUGGCCAGACGCAGCCUGUCACUCAAACCCUGAAUCCUGGAGAGUGUUCAGAGUAGAGAGGCUCCAGCAUGGAGGUACUGGAGGACACAGAUCUCCUCUGACACGUCAGCUUUAUCUCUCUCUGUCCAAGCUGGCACUGUAGCUUUUGUUGAAUUACGUUAAAAUAACACGUGUUUGAUUCAUUAACAUUAUUCUCUCUGGUUUUUACCCCUUGCUUGGAUUUGUCACAUGUUGAACAUUUAAUAAAAACGCAAAAAAUACAAUA